CAGGUGCCUAAUUUCGUGAUAUGACCGAAAGUGCUGAGUACUAGUUUAUCAUAAAUGGUUUAAAAAAAAAACCUUUUUUGUCUUGGAAAUGAUAAGAUUUGCUCUUAUACAAAAUCGUUCUGGAAAAACACGAAUGGCUAAAUGGCUUAUUGCUUAUACUGAAGACGAGAAAACCAAAGUUAUAGAGGAAGUACACGCUUUAGUUACAAUUCGAGAGUCGGGGUUUACUAAUUUUAUAGAGUACCGCAAUUUUAAGAUUGUGUACAAAAAGUAUGCUGGGCUGUAUUUCUGCUUUUGCGUGGAUGUCACCGACAGCAAUUAUACCUGUUUAUACGCAAUUCGAAAUUUUGUGGAGGUUUUGGAUCUCUAUUUUAAUAAAGUUUGCGAAUUGGAUUUGGUGUUUAAUUUCUGGAAGGUUUAUCUCAUCUUCGACGAAAUGUUUUUGGGAGGAGAGCUUGUAGAAAUCGACAUCGGACCUUUUGUUAG